GACGAACGCUGGCGGCGUGCUUAACACAUGCAAGUCGAACGGAAAGGCCCUGCUUUUGUGGGGUGCUCGAGUGGCGAACGGGUGAGUAACACGUGAGUAACCUGCCCCUGACUUUGGGAUAACUUCAGGAAACUGGGGCUAAUACCGGAUAGGAGCUCCUGCUGCAUGGUGGGGGUUGGAAAGUUUCGGCGGUUGGGGAUGGACUCGCGGCUUAUCAGCUUGUUGGUGGGGUAGUGGCUUACCAAGGCUUUGACGGGUAGCCGGCCUGAGAGGGUGACCGGCCACAUUGGGACUGAGGUACGGCCCAGACUCCUACGGGAGGCAGCAGUGGGGAAUAUUGCACAAUGGGCGGAAGCCUGAUGCAGCAACGCCGCGUGCGGGAUGACGGCCUUCGGGUUGUAAACCGCUUUCGCCGGUGACGAAGCGUGAGUGACGGUAAUGGGUAAAGAAGCACCGGCUAACUACGUG
rnacentral:rRNA from 1 species